AGUGAACGCUGGCGGUAGGCCUAACACAUGCAAGUCGAACGGCAGCACAGUAAGAGCUUGCUCUUACGGGUGGCGAGUGGCGGACGGGUGAGGAAUACAUCGGAAUCUACUUUUUCGUGGGGGAUAACGUAGGGAAACUUACGCUAAUACCGCAUACGACCUACGGGUGAAAGUAGGGGAUCUUCGCACCUUGCGCGAUUGAAUGAGCCGAUGUCGGAUUAGCUAGUUGGCGGGGUAAAGGCACACCAAGGCGACGAUACGUAGCUGGUCUGAGAGGAUGAUCAGCCACACUGGAACUGAGACACGGUCCAGACUCCUACGGGAGGCAGCAGUGGGGAAUAUUGGACAAUGGGCGCAAGCCUGAUCCAGCCAUACCGCGUGGGUGAAGAAGGCCUUCGGGUUGUAAAGCCCUUUUGUUGGGAAAGAAAAGCAGCAGGAGAAUACCCCGCUGUUCUGACGGUACCCAAAGAAUAAGCACCGGCUAACUUCGUG
rnacentral:rRNA from 1 species